CCUACGGGAGGCAGCAGUAAGGAAUAUUGGUCAAUGGACGGAAGUCUGAACCAGCCAUGCCGCGUGCAGGAAGACGGCCCUAUGGGUUGUAAACUGCUUUUGCAGGGGAAUAAACCUCGAUACGUGUAUCGAGCUGAAUGUACUCUGAGAAUAAGGAUCGGCUAACUCCGUGCCAGCAGCCGCGGUAAUACGGAGGAUCCAAGCGUUAUCCGGAUUUAUUGGGUUUAAAGGGUGCGUAGGUGGCCUGUUAAGUCAGGGGUGAAAGACGGUAGCUUAACUAUCGCAGUGCCCUUGAUACUGAUGGGCUUGAAUGAACUAGAGGUAGGCGGAAUGUGACAAGUAGCGGUGAAAUGCAUAGAUAUGUCACAGAACACCAAUUGCGAAGGCAGCUUACUAUGGUUUUAUUGACACUGAGGCACGAAAGCGUGGGGAUCAAACAGGAUUAGAUACCCUGGUAGUCCACGCCCUAAACGAUGAAUACUCGAUGUUGGCGAUAUACGGUCAGCGUCUAAGCGAAAGCGUUAAGUAUUCCACCUGGGGAAGUCGCCGCAAGGUGAAACUUAAAGGAAUUGAGGCGNGAGAGNGCGAGACGACGACGAGGAGGAGG
rnacentral:rRNA from 1 species